rnacentral:lncRNA from 1 species
AAGGAGAUAAGGAUAAAAAAGCUUUAAACUUUGGGAUCAGGAAAAGAAGAAGAAGAAGAAGAAGGAAUUCGCGUUGGCUUACCUGAAGUAGGAGAAACGAGUUCACUUGGUGAUGGCAUACACAGCAUAAAUGAUGCCCGGGAGGUACCCGAACAACGUCAACAGCAGGCAGAUCCAGAACUCCACCUGCCCCCAUCAAUAAUCGCAGCAACAAAUAAAUUAAUGAAGAUUUACAAAUCUCUACUGCUUAAAAGAUUUACUUGUGUAUGCUUCAUUCAAGAACAAAUUGUUCUUGGGAAGAUGACGAGAGGAAAGCUCAUGCAUGCAUGCAUGCACGUUGAGCUAAUGAAACCUUGCGUUACAUAUACCUGGCAUCCGAACUUGAGGAAGACACCCAGUGGAGGGAGGAUGAUGGCCAGGAGGAUAUCGAUGCAGUUGGCCGUGCCCUCGUCCGCCAUCUAUCACGUAUGUCGACCGUCCUCGGACGUUCUGGUGAA